rnacentral:rRNA from 1 species
GCAAUGUCCGUAUACCCUAAAGGCACCAGAUCUUGUCUGAUCUUGAAAGCUAAACAGGGUCAGCCAGGUUAGUACUUGGAUGGGAGAUUACCAAUAACUACCAGGUGCUAUAAGCU